CACCGCCGUGGGCGGCAAUGGCGGCGCCGGCGGUGUCGGCGCUGCCGGUGGGAGUGCCGGCCAGUUCGGCCAUGGCGGUGGUGGC
rnacentral:tRNA from 1 species